rnacentral:rRNA from 1 species
CCUACGGGUGGCAGCAGUGGGGGAUAUUGCACAAUGGGGGAAACCCUGAUGCAGCGACGCCGCGUGAGUGAAGAAGUAUUUCGGUAUGUAAAGCUCUAUCAGCAGGGAAGAAAUUGACAGUACCUGACCAACAAGCCCCGGCUAACUAGGUGCCAGCAGCCGAGGUAAUACGUAGGGGGCAAGCAUUAUCCGGAUUGAAUGGGUGAACAGGGAGCGUAGACGGUUAUGGAAGUCUGGAGUGAAACCCCGGGGCGCAACCCCGGAACUGCUUGGGAAACUGUGUAACUGGAGUACAGGAGGGGCAAGCGGAAUUCCUGGUGUAGCGGUGAAAUGCGUAGAUAUCAGGAGGAACACCAGCGGCGAAGGCGGCCUGCUGGACUGAAACUGACGUUGAGGCUCGAAAGCGUGGGGAGCAAACAGGAUUAGAUACCCGUGUAGUC